GUGGGGAAUCUUGCGCAAUGGGCGAAAGCCUGACGCAGCCAUGCCGCGUGAAUGAUGCAGUUCUCAGGAUUGUAAAAUUCUUUCACCGGGGACGAUAAUUACGGUACCCGGAGAAGAAGCUCCGGCUAACUUCGUGCCAGCAGCUGCUGUAAUACGAAUGGGGCUAGCGUUGCUCGGAAUUACUGGGCGUAAAGGGCGCGUAGGCGGACAGCUUAGUCAGAGGUGAAAGCCCAGGGCUCAACCUUGGAAUUGCCUUUGAUACUGGCAGUCUUGAAUUUGGGAGAGGUGAGUGGAACACCGAGUGUAGGGGUGAAAUUCGUAGAUAUUCGGAAGAACACCAGUGGCGAAGGCGACUCACUGGCCCAAUACUGACGCUGAGGCGCGAAAGCGUGGGGAGCAAACAGGAUUAGAAACCCGGGUAGUCC
rnacentral:rRNA from 1 species